AGGGCUGCAUGAUCUGACCUCACCAGAUCUCACCAUCGCCUCUGAGUGGACUUACUGUGAGACGGACAUCGACCCUGCUCACCGUAAGUACUCACAGCUGCAGGCCGCCAUCCGCUACCUGCUGGGGAAGGAGCCUGACCUCGAGUGUGACGAGGUGCUGCUGUCGCAGACGCUGUUCGACGCCGUGGUCACAGCUCCACUUGAGGCCUACUGGAACACCCUGAUGCUG